rnacentral:rRNA from 1 species
UACGAAGGGGGCUAGCGUUGUUCGGAAUUACUGGGCGUAAAGCGUGCGCAGGCGGUUUCUCAAGUCAGGGGUGAAAGCCCGGAGCUCAACUCCGGAAUUGCCUUUGAAACUGUGAAGCUAGAGUGCGGGAGAGGUGAGUGGAAUUCCCAGUGUAGAGGUGAAAUUCGUAGACAUUGGGAAGAACACCGGUGGCGAAGGCGGCUCACUGGCCCGUUUCUGACGCUCAUGCACGACAGCGUGGGGAUCAAACAGG